rnacentral:rRNA from 1 species
GGUUAAGCGACUAAGCGUACACGGUGGAUGCCCUGGCAGUCAGAGGCGAUGAAGGACGUGCUAAUCUGCGAUAAGCGUCGGUAAGGUGAUAUGAACCGUUAUAACCGGCGAUUUCCGAAUGGGGAAACCCAGUGUGUUUCGACACACUAUCAUUAACUGAAUCCAUAGGUUAAUGAGGCGAACCGGGGGAACUGAAACAUCUAAGUACCCCGAGGAAAAGAAAUCAACCGAGAUUCCCCCAGUAGCGGCGAGCGAACGGGGAGCAGCCCAGAGCCUGAAUCAGUGUGUGUGUUAGUGGAAGCGUCUGGAAAGGCGCGCGAUACAGGGUGACAGCCCCGUACACAAAAAUGCACAUGCUGUGAGCUCGAUGAGUAGGGCGGGACACGUGGUAUCCUGUCUGAAUAUGGGGGGACCAUCCUCCAAGGCUAAAUACUCCUGACUGACCGAUAGUGAACCAGUACCGUGAGGGAAAGGCGAAAAGAACCCCGGCGAGGGGAGUGAAAAAGAACCUGAAACCGUGUACGUACAAGCAGUGGGAGCACGCUUAGGCGUGUGACUGCGUACCUUUUGUAUAAUGGGUCAGCGACUUAUAUUCUGUAGCAAGGUUAACCGAAUAGGGGAGCCGAAGGGAAACCGAGUCUUAACUGGGCGUUAAGUUGCAGGGUAUAGACCCGAAACCCGGUGAUCUAGCCAUGGGCAGGUUGAAGGUUGGGUAACACUAACUGGAGGACCGAACCGACUAAUGUUGAAAAAUUAGCGGAUGACUUGUGGCUGGGGGUGAAAGGCCAAUCAAACCGGGAGAUAGCUGGUUCUCCCCGAAAGCUAUUUAGGUAGCGCCUCGUGAAUUCAUCUCCGGGGGUAGAGCACUGUUUCGGCAAGGGGGUCAUCCCGACUUACCAACCCGAUGCAAACUGCGAAUACCGGAGAAUGUUAUCACGGGAGACACACGGCGGGUGCUAACGUCCGUCGUGAAGAGGGAAACAACCCAGACCGCCAGCUAAGGUCCCAAAGUCAUGGUUAAGUGGGAAACGAUGUGGGAAGGCCCAGACAGCCAGGAUGUUGGCUUAGAAGCAGCCAUCAUUUAAAGAAAGCGUAAUAGCUCACUGGUCGAGUCGGCCUGCGCGGAAGAUGUAACGGGGCUAAACCAUGCACCGAAGCUGCGGCAGCGACGCUGAUGCGUUGUUGGGUAGGGGAGCGUUCUGUAAGCCUGCGAAGGUGUGCUGUGAGGCAUGCUGGAGGUAUCAGAAGUGCGAAUGCUGACAUAAGUAACGAUAAAGCGGGUGAAAAGCCCGCUCGCCGGAAGACCAAGGGUUCCUGUCCAACGUUAAUCGGGGCAGGGUGAGUCGACCCCUAAGGCGAGGCCGAAAGGCGUAGUCGAUGGGAAACAGGUUAAUAUUCCUGUACUUGGUGUUACUGCGAAGGGGGGACGGAGAAGGCUAUGUUGGCCGGGCGACGGUUGUCCCGGUUUAAGCGUGUAGGCUGGUUUUCCAGGCAAAUCCGGAAAAUCAAGGCUGAGGCGUGAUGACGAGGCACUACGGUGCUGAAGCAACAAAUGCCCUGCUUCCAGGAAAAGCCUCUAAGCAUCAGGUAACAUCAAAUCGUACCCCAAACCGACACAGGUGGUCAGGUAGAGAAUACCAAGGCGCUUGAGAGAACUCGGGUGAAGGAACUAGGCAAAAUGGUGCCGUAACUUCGGGAGAAGGCACGCUGAUAUGUAGGUGAAGUCCCUCGCGGAUGGAGCUGAAAUCAGUCGAAGAUACCAGCUGGCUGCAACUGUUUAUUAAAAACACAGCACUGUGCAAACACGAAAGUGGACGUAUACGGUGUGACGCCUGCCCGGUGCCGGAAGGUUAAUUGAUGGGGUUAGCGCAAGCGAAGCUCUUGAUCGAAGCCCCGGUAAACGGCGGCCGUAACUAUAACGGUCCUAAGGUAGCGAAAUUCCUUGUCGGGUAAGUUCCGACCUGCACGAAUGGCGUAAUGAUGGCCAGGCUGUCUCCACCCGAGACUCAGUGAAAUUGAACUCGCUGUGAAGAUGCAGUGUACCCGCGGCAAGACGGAAAGACCCCGUGAACCUUUACUAUAGCUUGACACUGAACAUUGAGCCUUGAUGUGUAGGAUAGGUGGGAGGCUUUGAAGUGUGGACGCCAGUCUGCAUGGAGCCGACCUUGAAAUACCACCCUUUAAUGUUUGAUGUUCUAACGUUGACCCGUGAUCCGGGUUGCGGACAGUGUCUGGUGGGUAGUUUGACUGGGGCGGUCUCCUCCUAAAGAGUAACGGAGGAGCACGAAGGUUGGCUAAUCCUGGUCGGACAUCAGGAGGUUAGUGCAAUGGCAUAAGCCAGCUUGACUGCGAGCGUGACGGCGCGAGCAGGUGCGAAAGCAGGUCAUAGUGAUCCGGUGGUUCUGAAUGGAAGGGCCAUCGCUCAACGGAUAAAAGGUACUCCGGGGAUAACAGGCUGAUACCGCCCAAGAGUUCAUAUCGACGGCGGUGUUUGGCACCUCGAUGUCGGCUCAUCACAUCCUGGGGCUGAAGUAGGUCCCAAGGGUAUGGCUGUUCGCCAUUUAAAGUGGUACGCGAGCUGGGUUUAGAACGUCGUGAGACAGUUCGGUCCCUAUCUGCCGUGGGCGCUGGAGAACUGAGGGGGGCUGCUCCUAGUACGAGAGGACCGGAGUGGACGCAUCACUGGUGUUCGGGUUGUCAUGCCAAUGGCACUGCCCGGUAGCUAAAUGCGGAAGAGAUAAGUGCUGAAAGCAUCUAAGCACGAAACUUGCCCCGAGAUGAGUUCUCCCUGACUCCUUGAGAGUCCUGAAGGAACGUUGAAGACGACGACGUUGAUAGGCCGGGUGUGUAAGCGCAGCGAUGCGUUGAGCUAACCGGUACUAAUGAACCGUGAGGCUUAACCUU